GACAGAGGUGCCGAGCGUUAGGCGGAAUCACUGGGCUUAAAGCGUGUGUAGGCGGGCGAUCAAGUACCUUGUGAAAUCCCACGGCUCAACCGUGGAACCGCUGGGUAUACUGGUUGUCUUGAGCCGGCUAGGGGCGAGCGGAACAGACGGUGGAGCGGUGAAAUGCGUAGAUAUCGUCUGGAACGCCGAAGGUGAAAACAGCUCGCUGGGGCCGCGCUGACGCUGAGACACGAAAGCCAGGGGAG
rnacentral:rRNA from 1 species